rnacentral:misc_RNA from 1 species
UGCAGUCUACAUGCCACAUCUUCAUAACAAUAUGUAACUUUGGAGAUCUCUCCUCCAUUUGUGCCUAAAUGGAAGAAUGAAGGAUUCUCUCACUUUCACUUUGGAGCUGUAAGAUUGAUUCUAACAUUACAUGGAAGACGAGGACUCUCAAUCACUGCUCGAGUCUCUCUUUUAGAUACUCGCUUCUCACAAUAUGAGCAUAUUGUCAUAGGCACUUGUCUCACAACACUUCAUGCUGGAAGUGUGAUUCUUACCCUUUUUUUUCCAACUACAAUAUGUCUUUGAGAGAUCCAAACCUUUGUACUGCCUUAAAAGUACAAGUUCAGAUCACUGGUACAGAA